CCAUUUCAUUUUUAUUAAAAAAAAGAGGGAGGGGCCUCAUUUGUAAAAUGGAGAAAACAGAGGAGGCUAGGGCAAAACCCUAGCGCCGCCCUUCUUUCCGCCACCUAGUCUCCACUGUCUUUGGUGUCAUUUGGAGUGGGGAAGGAGGCAAAGCAUUCAAUGCUUUGUCCUUCUCCCCCUAAAUCUCGGCCAAACACGCCCUAAGAAGCAAAUGAUGGCCAACUAUGUAAGGCUCAGUGGAAGAGUUGCCAGCAAGACAACCAGUCUUCCUCCAAGAAGAGCAUCUCAUAGGGGGGAAGAUGCCUAUGUCAUAACCAGUAAGUGCAUAGGCACUUGGUUCAUUUAUUGUGGUCCAAAUUUAUCACCAAAUUCUUUGAAGCACAACUCUACAUAAUCUCGAAAAUCAUAGCUACAAAAAUAAUGCUACAUUCAUUUAGUAUCUUCCUUUUUUAGAAACUUGAGAAGAAUUGCACCAAAAAAUGUUUUAAAAUGAGUGUUACUUACAUAAUUUGAGGGUUUAGAAAGCCAAGAUACUCAUCUUCAAGGACUUGGGGUAGAUCCCAAUGGAAUAGUGUGACCAUAGGUUGUAUACCUGAAUGAGUUUGUGGGAAAAAUAAUCUAAAUAUAACGUGUUUUCGCCCCUUAGUUGAUUUGAGAAAAGAAAA